GAUGAACGCUAGCGGCAGGCCUAAUACAUGCAAGUCGAACGGUGUCUUCGGACAUAGUGGCGCACGGGUGCGUAACACGUAUGCAACCUACCUUACAUUGGGGGAUAGCCUUUCGAAAGGGAGAUUAAUACCGCAUAAGACAGUAGCUGGGCAUCCAGCAGCUGUUAAAGAUUUAUCGAUGUAAGCUGGGCAUGCGUCCAAUUAGCUAGUUGGUGAGGUAACGGCUCACCAAGGCAAUGAUUGGUAGGGGAACUGAGAGGUCAAUCCCCCACACUAGCACUGGGAUACGGGCCAGACUCCUACGGGAGGCAGCAGUAGGGAAUAUUGGGCAAUGGACGCAAGUCUGACCCAGCCAUGCCGCGUGCAGGAUGAAGGCGUUAUGCGUUGUAAACUGCUUUUAUACAGGAAGAAACGACUCUUGCGAGAGGCAUUGACGGUACUGUAUGAAUAAGCACCGGCUAACUCCGCGCCAGCCGCCGCCGUAACAC
rnacentral:rRNA from 1 species